CAAUAGCGUAUAUUAAAGUUGUUGCAGUUAAAAAGCUCGUAGUUGGAUUUGUGGUGUACUUCGGCGGCCCGUCACUAUGUGAUGGAGCUUGCUGAAGUCGCCAUCCUUGGGUGGAUCCUGUGUGGCAUUAAGUUGUCGUGCAGGGGAUGCCCAUCGUUUACUGUGAAAAAAUUAGAGUGUUCAAAGCAGGCUUAUGCCGUUGAAUAUAUUAGCAUGGAAUAAUAAGAUAGGACCUUGGUACUAUUUUGUUGGUUUGCGCACCAAGGUAAUGAUUAAUAGGGACAGUUGGGGGUAUUCAUAUUUAAUUGUCAGAGGUGAAAUUCUUGGAUUUAUGAAAGAUGAACUACUGCGAAAGCAUUUACCAAGGAUGUUNUCAUUNA
rnacentral:rRNA from 1 species